rnacentral:pre_miRNA from 1 species
UCUUAUGAAUGAGCAAAGAAAGUGGUUUCCUGAGAGGGAAUCUACUCCUGGUGAUGAUGCUAUGAA